UGCAAGUCGAGCGGUAGAGAGGAGCUUGCUUCUCUUGAGAGCGGCGGACGGGUGAGUAAUGCCUAGGAAUCUGCCUAGUGGUGGGGGAUAACGUUCGGAAACGGACGCUAAUACCGCAUACGUCCUACGGGAGAAAGCGGGGGAUCUUCGGACCUCGCGCCAUUAGAUGAGCCUAGGUCGGAUUAGCUAGUUGGUGAGGUAAUGGCUCACCAAGGCGACGAUCCGUAACUGGUCUGAGAGGAUGAUCAGUCACACUGGAACUGAGACACGGUCCAGACUCCUACGGGAGGCAGCAGUGGGGAAUAUUGGACAAUGGGCGAAAGCCUGAUCCAGCCAUGCCGCGUGUGUGAAGAAGGUCUUCGGAUUGUAAAGCACUUUAAGUUGGGAGGAAGGGUUGUAGAUUAAUACUCUGCAAUUUUGACGUUACCGACAGAAUAAGCACCGGCUAACUCUGUGCCAGCAGCCGCGGUAAUACAGAGGGUGCAAGCGUUAAUCGGAAUUACUGGGCGUAAAGCGCGCGUAGGUGGUUUGUUAAGUCGGAUGUGAAAUCCCAGGGCUCAACCUUGGAAUUGCACCCGAUACUGGCAGGCUAGAGUACGGUAGAGGGGUGUGGAAUUUCCUGUGUAGCGGUGAAAUGCGUAGAUAUAGGAAGGAACAUCAGUGGCGAAGGCGACACCCUGGACCGAUACUGACACUGAGGUGCGAAAGCGUGGGGAGCAAACAGGAUUAGAUACCCUGGUAGUCCACGCCGUAAACGAUGUCUACUAGCCGUUGGGGAUUUAUUUCUUUAGUGGCGCAGCUAACGCGAUAAGUAGACCGCCUGGGGAGUACGACCGCAAGGUUAAAACUCAAAUGAAUUGACGGGGGCCCGCACAAGCGG
rnacentral:rRNA from 1 species